rnacentral:rRNA from 1 species
AUUGAACGCUGGCGGCAUGCCUCACACAUGCAAGUCGAACGGCAGCACGGGAGCUUGCUCCUGGUGGCGAGUGGCGAACGGGUGAGUAAUGCAUCGGAACGUGCCCUGAAAUGGGGGAGUAACGUAGCGAAAGUUACGCUAAUACCGCAUAUUCUGUGAGCAGGAAAGCAGGGGAUCUUCGGACCUUGCGCUUUUGGUAGCGGCCGAUGUCGGAUUAGCUAGUUGGUGGGGUAAAGGCCCACCAAGGCGACGAUCCGUAGCGGGUCUGAGAGGAUGAUCCGCCACACUGGAACUGAGACACGGUCCAGACUCCUACGGGAGGCAGCAGUGGGGAAUUUUGGACAAUGGGCGCAAGCCUGAUCUAGCCAUGCCGCGUGAGUGAAGAAGGCCUU